UCUGUAAUACCCACUGAU
rnacentral:miRNA from 1 species